rnacentral:rRNA from 1 species
AGGGGAAUAUUGGACAAUGGGCGCAAGCCUGAUCCAGCCAUGCCGCGUGAGUUAUGAAGGCCCUAGGGUUGUAAAGCUCUUUCACCGGUGAAGAUAAUGACGGUAACCGGAGAAGAAGCCCCGGCUAACUUCGUGCCAGCAGCCGCGGUAAUACGAAGGGGGCUAGCGUUGUUCGGAUUUACUGGGCGUAAAGCGCACGUAGGCGGACUAUUAAGUCAGGGGUGAAAUGCCGGGGCUCAACCCCGGAACUGCCUUUGAUACUGGUAGUCUUGAGUUAGAGGGAGGUGAGUGGAAUUCCGAGAGUAGAGGUGAAAUUCGAAGAUAUAGGGAGGAACACAAGUGGCGAAGGCGGCUCACAGGAUCGAUACUGACGCAAAGGUGCGAAAGCGUGGGGAGCAAACAGG